CUAGUUUAACCUUGGCAAACAUGUCCAGACAAGAGCUUGGUACAAGAUUAACAUAAGCAGACAUGGCAGGGCAAGACUCAGGUAUAAGAUUAGCAUAGGCAAACACCUCUGAAGUCCCACCACCCAAAGUACAAUAGAACUUCCUUUGCAUGUCUGGACCCCUUGGCAAGUCUGGUGAUGGGAUUAGGCUUUCAUUGGCCAGCAAUUGUCACCUCUGGGAACUUCCUGGAGUCCAUUUUAAAUAGGAAAAUAGCUUUAGAAUGGAGGAAACUGGCAAAGAAGUUGAUUUUAUAUUAUUUUUAAAGCUAGGUAACUUCCCUGAGCUGUCAAGUUGAAAGGAUGCAUUCAGGCAUAACUUUUAACAACUUUAAACAUGCCCCCCCCCCCCGUAAUUUCCAUAACAACAAUGAACCCAAACCUCCCAUCACCAGGGCAGCUGUCCUGCAGGCUCCCUUGUUUAACGAAGUUGUUUUUCUUGCCUUCUUUCUUACACCCCCUCCCUCUCCGUUGUUCAGGAUUUCGUGCUCUUGCUUCGGAGACUCGGUUUGAACAAUACGCCGCAAUUUCUUCCUUGUUGAUGGGGAACCACAACCCGUCAAGCCGAGCUUUUGAGAAAGUUUUGCUACUAAUCAGCGUGAUUAGCUCGCAGUCCACUCUCCAAAGAAGGGUCACGAUCGGCCUCGGCUUGCAGCACGGCAAACUAUGCUCGCUCGCAUUUCAAAGCUCUUGCCCCGCUAACAGACCGCUCUGCACGUAUCUGGCUGAAGUGUAGCACACGCCGCCGAGCCGAAAGGAGUUCAGUGGCCUUGACAACUGGCAGGCAUAAACUUUUAUGUGUCAAGCUUUCCGUGG